rnacentral:lncRNA from 1 species
GAUGUUUUCUUCUUUGUUUUCUUUAAUUAUCCCCUCGCACCACAUAGCAACAGCUUUAUAUAUAGUUGACCUGGGACUGAGCUUUGGAGCAGCUUGGGUGGAAUAAGGCAACAUCCAGGAACUGGAAUUUAAGAGCUCAGAGGUCUUGGAGGAGAAGCCUAGGGGUCGGAUGAAAGGGAGAGUGAGACUCCAGACACUUGUAUUUAAGGGCAACAGGGUAGGGGAUAGUUAACCCAAAACAAGUCCAGGGACUUAUUUUUAAGGGCAUGGGGGUCGGGGAGGGUUAUCCCAUGGGGGUCCAGGGACUUGUUUUUAAG